rnacentral:rRNA from 1 species
UACGUAGGGGGCAAGCGUUAUCCGGAUUUACUGGGUGUAAAGGGGGCGCAGACGGCGAUGCAAGCCAGGAGUGAAAGCCCGGGGCCCAACCCCGGGACUGCUCAUGGAACUGCGUGGCUGGAGUGCAGGAGGGGCAAUCGGAAUUCCGUGUGUAGCGGUGAAAUGCGUAGAUAUACGGAGGAACACCAGUGGCGAAGGCGGAUUGCUGGACAGUAACUGACGCUGAGGCGCGAAAGCGUGGGGAGCAAACAGG